GGGUGCCCGUCGUUACUCAGUGGCGUGUGGUGGCAAGUUGGCUUGUGUAGCCACUUCUCCGACGAGUGUGUUUUAAUUAAGUCAGCUUGAGUGGUCCAUAUUCACUGGCAAGGCUGUUGUAGCGAGCUCUGACGCUGGGUGCUUGGUGGGAAUCAGCUGGAGCCGUAGCCAAGCCUCUCAUAAGCUCAAUUCAUGACCUGCGGUCCCAGAGAGGGGAUUCAUCGCCACUUGUCGUGUGGGAAGUGGAUUACAGCCAAGUGCCUCCACGCCUUGGAAAGGCUGCUGUUCUGUUGUGCUGUGGAUUUGUGGAUGACGUUUUCAUACGGGCGGCUUCACUGUCAGGAUCAACCUCUGGGCCCUGGUG